rnacentral:tRNA from 1 species
AGGUGAUUAGCUCAGUUGGUUAGAGCGUCUCGUUUACACCGAGGAUGUCAGCGGUUCGAAUCCGUUAUCACCUA